AGCGACUUAUAUUCUGUAGCAAGGUUAACCGAAUAGGGGAGCCGGAGGGAAACCGAGUCUUAACCGGGCGUUAAGUUGCAGGGUAUAGACCCGAAACCCGGUGAUCUAGCCAUGGGCAGGUUGAAGGUUGGGUAACACUAACUGGAGGACCGAACCGACUAAUGUUGAAAAAUUAGCGGAUGACCUGUGGCUGGGGGUGAAAGGCCAAUCAAACCGGGAGAUAGCUGGUUCUCCCCGAAAGCUAUUUAGGUAGCGCCUCGUGAAUUCAUCUCCGGGGGUAGAGCACUGUUUCGGCUAGGGGGCCAUCCCGGCUUACCAACCCGAUGCAAACUGCGAAUACCGGAGAAUGUUAUCACGGGAGACACACGGCGGGUGCUAACGUCCGUCGUGAAGAGGGAAACAACCCAGACCGCCAGCUAAGGUCCCAAAGUCAUGGUUAAGUGGGAAACGAUGUGGGAAGGCCCAGACAGCCAGGAUGUUGGCUUAGAAGCAGCCAUCAUUUAAAGAAAGCGUAAUAGCUCACUGGUCGAGUCGGCCUGCGCGGAAGAUGUAACGGGGCUAAACCAU
rnacentral:rRNA from 1 species